rnacentral:lncRNA from 1 species
UCCCCUUGUAUGAACAACUGAUUUCCAAAAGAAUAUGAAGUAAUCCUGGUAUAGUAUAUUUGGUCAAAAUAUUAUACCCUGGAAUAGGAUAACUAUAUUUUGUAUGUACAUAUCUUAGCUAUGUGAAAGUAUGGACAAAACUCUAUGGAGAAUGAUAAAAACAACUUCUAUAUUUUCUCAGUUUAAUUUUUUUUUUUCAAAAUGCUUCUUACAUAUUAAAAUCUGAUCGAAACAAUGAAAAUAACAAAACAAUAAAUAAAUAAAUAUAUACAUAAAUUCAUUACAAAUUCAACAAAAUACAUAAUGUAGAUACUGCAAUAAAAAAAAGUAUGACUCAUGACUUAAAUAAAAUGAUAAUUGUGACUGAAACAUUUAUUAAAGUUAGGAAUGUCUGUUAUAAUAUUUUUUUUAAAAUGAAAUGAGAUCUGAUUUAUGGACAUUUGUUAUAACAUUAUUUUUGUUAUCACAACUCUGCACAAUAACCAUGUUUAUCUUUUUAAUUUGACUAGUGAAUGCAGGUAUGUACAAUCUUGUUUCUGUUUCUAUUAUUCUUCAACAAUUUAUUCUUUACCCGACUUUAGUUAUUGAAAGUGUGUUUUGUUUGAUUUCAGUUCUUCAAAUUUUCUUACUUUCUUUUAAAUUUCCUACUGUUAUUUUGAAGUCAGGGAAAAAUGCAACCAUGUCUGAUGAUGUAUCAUAGAAAGAACACAUCUUUUUGCAGAUCAUUGGAAAAGAAGGAAUAAGUUUGUCUGCAGAUCUUCUAAAAAUCGUUAUAGAAACAGAUUCUACCACCAAAUCUCAUGCAACUUGGUAUUUCUCCACUCUAAAAAGUUGAAUUUUCUAUAUUCUAAACUCUUGGUGAGCCUCAGGACAGAAAUAUUGCAUCACACCAAAUGCAGUGGUAUUAUCUAUAUUUACAUUUUUAUCAAGUAGACAUGAGAGAAUAUAAUGUGUGUACUCUUUUAGAGUAAUAAUGAAAUAUACACGAUCUGAUGUUUUUUGUAAGUACAGUUUAUGUUCUUCACAACGCUAUGAAAACAUUUAAAACAUAUAUAUAAAUGAAAACAGAUGCACCGAUAUUGAAGCGAUAGUUUGUAGUUAAAAAUACACAAAAUAUGACUUCAAUAAAACAAGUACCCUUUGUUAUGCAUAAGGAGCAAAAAAAUUGUCGCAAGUUUCAAGGGUGAAAAAGAGAAUGAGUGAGUUUUAUACACAUCAAAAGAUGGUAAGUUAAAUGAUUAAAACUUCAUAUGAAAUUCUUACUUUCAAAAUUUGAAGAUGUAUCUUUUUUGCUAUUUCAUAUCUUAAGAAUUUUGGAAAUGAAAAAACACACACAAUUUAGAUUUAUCAUGAUAAUCUGUUUCAAAGAAUUGGUAUUCAAUUGCAAAUUUAAUAAUACUGAUCUUUUUUAAUUUUCAAGUUGGCUAUCUUGGCUGAUUAUCCAUCAUAAUUAUCCUAAUUUUCACAGACAUUGUAAUUUCAAAGAUAUGAUACUUUUAAACUGUUUUGAUUCAGCAUUGAUGGCUAUGUUAAUUUUUUUGCAGCACAACACAACAUUAAAUUAAAAUAUACAUCAUACAUGUAAUUCAGGUCAUAUUUAAGAUAUGGAAUGUGUUACCUAACAAUUGACCAAAAUGAGACAUGUAUUAAAACAAAUGAAAUUGUGUUAUCUGGUUAUCAUAGGUGCACAUAGAAAUCAAACAUGGAGAAAAGAGUUUGUUUUCCUGAUUAAAAAAAUGUUUUGGCAUAGAACAGAACAAUGUUAUAAAGUCACAAAGAAAGUGAGUAUAUUUAUAUAUGAAAUACUGAAUGCACUUUCAGCCCCAAAAAAAUCUGUAAAUGCAUUAAAUUGCAUGCAAAAUCAAACAAAUAUAAUUUAACAUGUUUCUUUAAAUGUAGAUUUUUAA